ensembl:lncRNA
UCCACCCAACCCUCCUCCCCACCCUCGAUCGAAGCCUCCACCCAACCCUCCUCCACCCUCCCCAACCUCCACCCAACCCUCCAUCCAACCCUCCACCCAACCCUCCAUCCAACCCUCCACCCAACCCUCCAUCCAACCUUCCGCGGCUGGACCCGAACGUCCGGCCGGUGGCCCCGCGUCCCCCCGCCCCGUCCCCGGUGGGGAGGGCUGUGGGGACGGGGCGGGCCCCCCCGGGGAGGACCCGCCCGCCGCUGAGCCCCAGAGGGCAGACCGAGCGGCGGACCCUCCGGCCCAGGAGAGAGGGGAGGACGCGGGGGAGGGCUCUCCGGUUCAAAAAGAAUCAGACGAUCCUGUCCCACUGCCUGGUCCCUGUGACAUACAGCCCGGCGCUGUCGACCCGGGACAUCCUACAGAGAGCCCCCGUCUGUCAGAGAAGCCGCACCCAGACGACGGCAAGGAUACCAAGUCCUCCACGAAGAAGAAGAAGAGGACGUCGUCCAAGUCGCCGCAGAAGAAGAAGGAGGCCAAGAAGAGCAGCAGGCGGAGGUCCAGGUCCAACUCCCGCGCCCGCCGGAGGAGCUCGCGCUCGGUGAGCCGCAGCAAGAGGAAGAGGUCCGGGUCCCGGAAGAAGAGGUCCGGGUCGAGGAGGAAGAGGUCCGGGUCCCGGAGGAAGAGGUCCGGGUCCCGGAGGAAGAGGUCCGGGUCCAGGCCGCGGAGGAGAUCCAGGUCCAAGUCCAGGUCCAAGAAGAAAUCAAAGUCAAGGUAGGCGCCCACUUUGGUUGUUAAUGGAAGAAUCUGCUCUGGACCGGACCUGGUUUGCUCAGUCUUCUAUAGUGUAGCUCGCUCUGCAUUGCAGAACCCAGUGGUAUCUGCUCUAGUUAGAACCUGGUUUAGGCUCCGUCUGUCUCUAUAGAGUAUUGUUCGCUUUUCAGUGCAGAACCCAG